UGUUUAAAAAAAAGCAAAACUAAUUGUCUUACGUUUCAGAAAAAGCACUUCAACAAAUGAAAAAUGUAUUAGUUUUCAACGCAAUGCUGGUACUGCCUUUUAAACUAAUUCAAAGUGUUGAUACUCGCUGGAAUUCUACAUUUGAUAUGGUUGAACGUUUUAUAAAAAUGGAAGAUGGCGUUAAAAAUUUGGGACUAAAAUGCGCAUGGGCCGAUGGAGAAGAUCGUGCAGACCAAGAAUAUAUAGAUGUAACCGUUGAAACUUAUAGUUUUCGAGAUAUUUGCGUUUAAAGUUGUAACUGAUAUAGUGUGUUGCCGAGUUUUGUUUUAAAAUUUAUAACUUUAAGAAAGUUUUUAUUGUAUAUUCAAAUAUUUUUCGAUUAUUAAAAUUCAUAAAGAUGAAAUAUUCAUUUAAUGACUAUAUCCCUUGGAGUUAUUUAGAAUCUUUUGUAAACUCUUGACACUAAUUAGGACAUUGUAUUAUUAUUAUGUUGUUCAUGAAUACCUGAUUUUUGAAAUUUAUACAAGAAGAUUGUUUUAGCAUGUACUUGUUAAUGAAUACAAUUGAAUUGUACCUGAUUUUAUAACUCAUUUUGGUUUUUGUUUAAGGUGAUUAUUUCGGCUUAUAUUGUUAAUGUAAUUACUAUCCAUGAAGUGUACCUGAUUAUAUAUAAAUAUUUUGUUUUUCUAGUUACAUUUGUUAUGAAAAGUAGAUUAUAGGCUCCUGGGAAACCAAACACCCAAACAAGAUCGGUUACACACCUCCAUUGCAUCCUCAGAAGUGAUCA